rnacentral:rRNA from 1 species
CCCUUAGAUGUUCUGGGCCGCACGCGCGCUACACUGAUGCAUUCAACGAGUCUAAAACCUAGUCUGAUAGGGCUGGGUAAUCUUUUGAAUGUGCAUCGUGAUUGGGAUAGAUGAUUGCAAUUCUUCAUCUUCAACGAGGAAUGCCUAGUAAACGCAAGUCAUCAGCUUGCAUUGAUUACGUCCCUGCCCUUUGUACACACCGCCCGUCGCUCCUACCGAUUGAAUGUUCCGAUGAAUACCAUGGACUGAGAGUAUGAAUGGGUUCGCCUAUUUCUGCUUCUCGGGAAGUGGAGUAAAUCUUAACAUUUAGAGGAAGGAGAAGUCGUAACA